UGAAGCUACUACUUUCAAUAAAUUUUCACAUACGAAUUCACUACAAUUGUAAUAAAUAAUAGGUCUGAACCUAUAAUUGAAUUGGAAGUUAUUAACUUACGGAACGAAUUCAUUGAGCUUAAAUUCUAGAUCCGUCUCGCCUCGUAUUCUGCGCUAAUUCAACCUUCAGCCCAGAAAACUUGUUGUAUAAGAUCAGAAACAGAGCCAUUAUUCACAUGAAAAAAACAAUUGAUCUAUCUCGA
rnacentral:misc_RNA from 1 species